CUGGGUCAGGGUCUGGGUCUAGGGGGGUCUAGGGGUCUGGGUUAGGGUCUGGGUUACGUAUUGGUCAGGGUCUGGGUCUAGGGGUCUGGGUCAGGGUCUGGGUCUAGGGGUCUGGGUUAGGGUCUGGGUUACGUAUUGGUCUAGGGGGUCUAGGGGGUCUAGGGGGUCUGGGUCGAUGUUCUAGGCUAAGGCUGACAUAUCCUGGAUUCUCAGCCAUUUGCAAAAAGAGACAAAUCCCAGAUAGCCUCAACAAAAGUUACAUGUAAGCACAACUAUUUUGAAGAGAUGCAAACACGGCGGUCAUGUGAACGGCAUCUUGAACAUUUAUUGAAGUAAACGGACAAUCUGAGCCCACAGCAGAGUAUUCAAAUAGCCUCCAGAUUGCAGAGUAAAGAACUCCACAGAGAACGUAUUGAAGGCGUCCUCAAAGCGCUGUGUGUCCUGAACCUGUCGCUGGUCACAUGCUCCACAGACAGUGCGGAACAAACUCUGUGACCCGAGAGAAACCAAAGGACGCUUCCCUUCUCUGCUAGCGUUUGGAUGUGGAGGAGGUUAUGGGAGUCUUCCACUGUGUUUGCAAUGCUAAUAGCGCUAUGUUAUAGAUGUAUGCAUGUGAUAUAGCAGCACAUGCGCACAUAAAUAAAACGUGUGUGUGUUUGUUUGUUUGCGUGUGUGUGUGUAUGAGUGUGUGUGUGUGUGUGUGUGUGUGUGUGUGUGUGUGUGUGUGUGUGUGUGUGUGUGUGUGUGUGUGUGUGUGUGUGUGUGUAUGGGGAGGGGAUGCAUGUGUGUGUGUUUGCGUGUGUGUGUGUGUGUGUGUGUGUGUGUGUGUGUGUGUGUGCAUCUUUGAACUACAG
ensembl:lncRNA